UUUUUUCACUUCUCACAAAAUAAUACACAAACACUUAGCCAAAUCAUCAGAGAACAUAACACUCAUCCUUUUUCCCUUAUUCGUGCCACUCAUCACCUCCAAAUCCCUAGUUCGCCGUCACUCAUCAUCACGAUGUCAUCACUCACCACUUCAGAACUGUCGCUCCGCUUCCCCACUCACCAGUAACCACUGACAACUUCGUCAAUUGAUCGACGAGAAUCAUCGCUUCUCUUCGCUGCCCGCUCACAUCAGGAAGACUCUGCGCUCAACUAAAACCCUCUCUUCAUUCGCUCACCAUCAUCGAGAAGUAGAGGUUUUUCAUGGUUUGCAGGAACAAGUAAUGACAACUGCUUCUAGGAGCCGUAGAUUGAUGGUUCGUGUUCAAAACAUUGAGGCUUCCUCACCGCCAUUGGAGAAGGCUGUAUUAGCACAAACAAGUCACAUACAUUUUGCUUAUACAUCUGUUACUAGUUCAGCAAUCUGAACCUGGAAUAAGGCCGGAAGAAAUUGAAGCUUUGCUACAAAAUGUCCAACACUCUCCAAUUGAUGCGAAUAGCGCUCAUGGAUCAACUCAUAUUUCAAACAUAGAUAUGAUAAUUCUAAAGAUCUGAGUGAAGAUUGAGAUGUUUAUCAUGAUGGUUUAUUGGCAAAGAUGGUGCUAGUGUUGGAGAUUGAAAGAUGUAUGGUUGAAGAUUAUGUCUUUUAUUAGAAGAUACAUUUGUAUGAUAUAAUAUUUUGGUUUUUUCUAGUUUGUUAGUAGUAAACUCUAAGUGGUCUCAUGCAUAUUUUGAUAUGAGUAUGCUUAUUCUAGUGUGAGAUGUAUGAAUCACUACAAGAAAAACACCCAUUCAGGUACACUUGAAAAGUGUAGCCAAAAGUGAAAAAAAUGAUGCCUUAGGCUACGGCUACGCUUUCUAGGCUACGACUACGCUUUUUGCGGUGAUUCCUAUUCGCCCGUUGCCUAUUCUCAAAGGCUACGCUUUUCUGCGCCAAGGGCUACGCUUUUGGCGUUUGGGAAUAGGGUGCGCUUUUCAAGUGAUGCUGUCCAGGACCAAAGGCUACGCUUUUCAGCUUCCAUUUUUACUAGAAUAGGCUACGCUUUUCAGUGCUACUGCAUCACCUGUAAAGCAUAGCCACAUUGUCCACGUUGUAUACUAUA